rnacentral:rRNA from 1 species
GACGAAGGAUGCAAGCGUUAUCCGGAUUCAUUGGGUUUGAAGGGAGCGUAGGUGGCCCGGUAAGUCAGUGGUGAAAUCUCGCAGCUUAACUGCGAAACUGCCAUUGAUACUGCUGGGCUUGAGUACAGAUGCCGUUGGCGGAAUAUGACAUGUAGUGGUGAAAUACAUAGAGAUGUCAUAGAACACCGAUUGCGAAGGCAGCUAACGAAACUGUAACUGACACUGAGGCUCGAAAGUGCGGGGAUCAAACAGG